rnacentral:rRNA from 1 species
CGGGUGAGUAACGCGUGAGGAACCUGCCUCAAAGAGGGGGACAACAGUUGGAAACGACUGCUAAUACCGCAUAAGCCCACGGCUCGGCAUCGAGCAGAGGGAAAAGGAGCAAUCCGCUUUGAGAUGGCCUCGCGUCCGAUUAGCUAGUUGGUGAGGUAAUGGCCCACCAAGGCGACGAUCGGUAGCCGGACUGAGAGGUUGAACGGCCACAUUGGGACUGAGACACGGUCCAG